rnacentral:tRNA from 1 species
GGCUUUGUAGCUCAAGGGUAGAGCAGCAGACUUAGAAUCUGUUGGUUGGGGGUUCGAAUCCCUCCCUAGCACU